rnacentral:rRNA from 1 species
GACGAACGCUGGCGGCGUGCCUAAUACAUGCAAGUAGAACGCUGAAGGAGGAGCUUGCUUCUCCGGAUGAGUUGCGAACGGGUGAGUAACGCGUAGGUAACCUGCCUGGUAGCGGGGGAUAACUAUUGGAAACGAUAGCUAAUACCGCAUAAGAGUAGAUGUUGCAUGACAUUUGCUUAAAAGGUGCAAUUGCAUCACUACCAGAUGGACCUGCGUUGUAUUAGCUAGUUGGUGGGGUAACGGCUCACCAAGGCGACGAUACAUAGCCGACCUGAGAGGGUGAUCGGCCACACUGGGACUGAGACACGGCCCAGACUCCUACGGGAGGCAGCAGUAGGGAAUCUUCGGCAAUGGACGGAAGUCUGACCGAGCAACGCCGCGUGAGUGAAGAAGGUUUUCGGAUCGUAAAGCUCUGUUGUAAGAGAAGAACGAGUGUGACACUGGAAAGUUCACACUGUGACGGUAUCUUACCAGAGAGGGACGGCUAACUACGUGCCAGCAGCCGCGGUAAUACGUAGGUCCCGAGCGCUGUCCGGAUUUAUUGGGCGUAAAGCGAGCGCAGGCGGUUAGAUAAGUCUGACCCUUUAGGCUGUGGGGUUAACCAUAAUACGCUUUGGAAGCGGUUAACUUGAGUGUC